rnacentral:rRNA from 1 species
GACGAACGCUGGCGGCGUGCCUAAUACAUGCAAGUCGAGCGAAGCGGCGGAUGGGUGAGUAACGCGUGGGUAACCUGCCCUUAAGUCUGGGAUACCAUUUGGAAACAGAUGCUCAUACCGGAUACUAAAGGAUGGACCUGCGAUGCAUUAGCUAGUUGGUAAGGUAACGGCUUACCAAGGCGAUGAUGCAUAGGCGAGUUGAGAGACUGAUCGGCCACAUUGGUACUGAGACGCGGCCUGAACUCCUACGUGAGGCAGCAUAAGGACAUCUUCCACAAUGGACGAAAGGCUAAUGUGGCAACGCCGCGAGAGCGAGAAGGGUUUUCGGAUCGUAAAGCUCUGUUGUUGGUGAAGCGGUAAUCAACCAGAAAGUCACGGCUAACUACGGGCCAGCAGCCGCGGUAAUUC